rnacentral:rRNA from 1 species
GACGAACGCUGGCGGCGUGCCUAAUACAUGCAAGUCGAGCGAAUCAAUAGGAGCUUGCUCCUGUUGGUUAGUGGCGGACGGGUGAGUAACACGUGGGCAACCUGCCUGUAAGACUGGGAUAACACCGGGAAACCGGUGCUAAUACCGGAUAAUCCUUUUACUCUCCUGAGGAAAAGCUGACAGUCGCUUUCGGCCGACACUUACAGAUGGGCUCGCGGCGCAUUAGCUAGUUGGUGGGGUAACGGCUCACCAAGGCGACGAUGCGUAGCCGACCUGAGAGGGUGAUCGGCCACACUGGGACGGAGACACGGCCCAGACUCCUACGGGAGGCAGCAGUAGGGAAUCUUCCACAAUGGACGAAAGUCUGAUGGAGCAACGCCGCGUGAGCGAUGAAGGCCUUCGGGUCGUAAAGCUCUGUUGUUAGGGAAGAACAAGUACCGGAGUAACUGCCGGUGCCUUGACGGUACCUAACCAGAAAGCCACGGCUAACUACGUGCCAGCAGCCGCGGUAAGAC